rnacentral:rRNA from 1 species
GAUGAACGCUGGCGGCGUGCCUAAUACAUGCAAGUCGAGCGAACGGACGAGAAGCUUGCUUCUCUGAUGUUAGCGGCGGACGGGUGAGUAACACGUGGAUAACCUACCUAUAAGACUGGGAUAACUUCGGGAAACCGUAGCUAAUACCGGAUAAUAUUUUGAACCGCAUGGUUCAAAAGUGAAAGACGGUCUUGCUGUCACUUAUAGAUGGAUCCGCGCUGCAUUAGCUAGUUGGUAAGGUAACGGCUUACCAAGGCAACGAUGCAUAGCCGACCUGAGAGGGUGGUCGGCCACCCUGGAACUGAGACACGGCCCAGACUCCUACGGGAGGCAGCAGUAGGGAAUCUUCCGCAAUGGGCGAAAGCCUGACGGAGCAACGCCGCGUGAGUGAUGAAGGUCUUCGGAUCGGAAAACUCUGUUAUUAGGGAAGAACAUAUGUGUAAGUAACUGUGCACAUCUUGACGGUACCUAAUCAGAAAGCCACGGCUAACUACGUG